GUGGGGAAUAUUGGGCAAUGGGCGCAAGCCUGACCCAGCAACGCCGCGUGAAGGAAGAAGGCUUUCGGGUUGUAAACUUCUUUUACCAGGGACGAAACAAAUGACGGUACCUGGUGAAUAAGCCACGGCUAACUACGUGCCAGCAGCCGCGGUAAUACGUAGGUGGCGAGCGUUAUCAGGAUUUAUUGGGUGUAAAGGGCGUGUAGGCGGGAAAGCAAGUCAGAUGUGAAAACCAGAGGCUCAACCUCUGGCCUGAAUUUGAAACUGUUGUUCUUGAGUGUCGGAGAGGUAAUCGGAAUUCCGUGUGUAGCGGUGAAAUGCGUAGAUAUACGGAGGAACACCAGUGGCGAAGGCGGAUUACUGGACGAUAACUGACGCUGAGGCGCGAAAGCGUGGGGAGCAAACAGGAUUAGAUACCCGGGUAGUCC
rnacentral:rRNA from 1 species